AUGGGAGGUUCCACAUCAAGAGACACAGUAACAACUACUACAGUUGCUACUACUACUCCUACUACCACGAUUACAACCACACAUGUCCCCACAACCUUCCAUGUCCCUUACAUGAGGUUUGAGGAGAAAUAUUUUAUUGCUCUAUCUUGUGUUGCAUCUCUUCUUUUUGUGGCAUUAGCAAUAACAGCAGUGUGUCAUUAUUGUUGGAAGACAUUACCUGGAGCAAAAGUGAGUAACCAAGAAACGAAUGAAAGUGAUCCUGAGACUCCUGCCAAUGCACAGACUAAUAAUUACCGGGACAGCAGCACUUCUGGAGAUAAGGACAGUGAAUGUGUCAUCUACGCUAACGUGACGAGUGUGGGAGGCGUUCCCCAGACUCUGUUGGUGACAGAGGCUACGGAGUAUGCCACGGUGAAGGUCUGAGCCAGUGAUGUCAGUCUUUCUCAAGUUUGUUCACUGUUGGAGGACAUUGCUGGGUGUUUGCAAGAUAAGCAUGCACCACUAGAGUGCGCUGUAGACGAGUUGCACUUUCAUCCUGUUCAGGUCAUCUCUAGUCAUUCAUCAUUGGUCAAUAAUAAAGCAAACUGUGAUCAACUGUCA
rnacentral:lncRNA from 1 species